rnacentral:lncRNA from 1 species
GCCGAACAGGCACCCUUCCCUCCAGCUUAUAGCCUGUUAGAGAAAUAUGCAGAAUCUCCCUUCAGGGAGGUCACAGCUGAGGUCAAGGCCACUUAUUAUUGCAAAGGUACUUGGAAUUGUACUUUUGAAUCUGGCCCCAUAGCAACCUCAAAUAAAAACAGAAUUCUGUAACUAAGGAGGAAGCACUCAGGCCAAAGAGAGGGCAACCUCAGGCUGCCUGUUGCGGCUGCCAUUCUGAGCACGGGACACCUUCAUGGCCCUUUUCACUGCUGGCUCUCUCCGAUCAGACCAUCCCACAGUAGCCUCAGGAAUCCGAUAGCCAGUUCUACUGUGGAAGCCGGCUUCAGACCCCAUCUGUCUUGCUGUCCCCAGAGACUGUCUAUCUGUUGCCCACAUACAUUCCAGAGCAAGUGAACACCAAGGGUUUAAAUGUGGGCACAUUUUCUACUGCAAGGAAGGAAAGACGAGUAAAGGAGAUAAACCCUGAGCUGCAGCCCGCCCGACGUCUGCCUUCUUGCAAGGAACCUGUGGAACCGGACUCCCUCGUAUGUGAGCAGACAGCAUCUGUCAUGAAAAGGCUGUGGGGAAUUGUUCUUACCUUGAGUCGUGGUGACAAGGAUGGGACUGUUACAAGAGACCUUUAUUUGUCCCCUGGGUCUCUGUUUAGUUUAUGUUAUAUAACAUUUCUUUUGAACUUGCAAAAUUAGCAGACGGGCAUGGUAACACCUUUAAUUCCAGUAUUGUGGACGCACAGGCAAGCUGGGUCUCUGUGCAUCCGAGGAAAGGCUGGUGCACAUAGUGAGUUACAGGCCAGGCAGAAAUUGA